rnacentral:lncRNA from 1 species
UGGACCCUCCUCGAUUUCCCCAAACUUCGCAAAGAACUCUAGUAGCUUCUGCGGAUCGAUCUCCGAAGAAACAUUGCUCACAAAAAUCUUUCUUUGAGUAUACUCAGACACCGGAGGUACCACCGGUGGCGGCGCUGGAACGGGGCCGGCAGAGGCUAGCUGGCACGAGGUCAUCCGAUUUCCAAUCUUCUUCUGCGGCUGCUUCAGCGCCUUGCGAGCGCCGCUCCGGUGCUUGAACAGAAUAAAGGCGUAUCCCUUGGAUUUUCCGGAGAUCUUGUCCGAUACGGCCUUGCAGUCUUCAAUCUCACCAUACUUGCCAAACACAGAGGUUAGGGUUUCUGCGGUCGUGUCCCAUCCCAGGCCGUGGACGAAGAUUUUUCGGUGAGCCGGGUCGGCGUCGGCGAGUCUUCGUACGCUAUCAACGAAGUCCGGGUACUUUUCCACUGCCUCCCGAAGCAAAGCCAGCAGCUGCUCUUUCGAGAAGGGCUCCAGAAGCUUCUCAAUCUCCUCAUCCUCCACAUCCCCUUCAUCCUCCUCAACCCCAUCGCCGUUCGCAUCCGCUGGCACCUCAUCCGCGACGGCUUCAUUCGACGCGUCCACAUCUCCUUCCUGGUCACCUUCUUCUUCCUCUUCCUCUUCCCCUUCCCCCUCCUCCUCCUCUUCUUCUUCUCCUUGGGCUUCGUGUUUGGGUUCGUCUUCAGCCAUGUGUUGUGGCUGAUCUUCGUCUUCCUGGAUGGGUUCAAAUUUGGUCUGAUCAUCUUCUUCCUGCGUGGGCUGUGGCUGCUCCUCUUGCUCAGGGGCUUUGGAGGAUUCGGGCUCGGAAGAACGGAGCUUUCGCUUCUUAGCCAUGGAGAAAUUAGGGUUAGGGUUUCUUGUGGAGCUAGGGUUUGAGAAGCGGCUAAAUCGCUUCAAUGAUAGUGCGUGACGAAAGAGGCAGUAGAUACGAAUGCACUUCAGGGUCAUUAUAUUUUAGGAGAUCUCGGACAACCAUCACACGUGACUUUAAUCAAC